CUCAUUCACUCAGUCACUCACUUAUUCACUCACAUUCAUUCACUCACAUUCACUCACUCACAUGCACUCACUCACACAUUCACUUAUUCAUUCACUCACUCAUGCACUCACUUAUUCACUCACCCAUUUAUUCACUCAUUCAUUCUCUCACUCUCAUUCACUCACUCUCUGUGUUCUGAACAGAUGCAUCCUGGACUCUAGACUGCAGCCAAGCCCUCAAAGACCUCUGCAGGGUGGUGGUCUCUUCUUGGGGCAGAUCCAAGCUCUGGCCUCUCCUCUCUGAGCAGAGAGACACUGUCCCAGCCAG
rnacentral:lncRNA from 1 species